rnacentral:lncRNA from 1 species
AUGCUGGGCUCUCUGGGUCAUCCUUCUCACCCUGGGCUCUCCAGUCAUCCUUUACUUCUCAUGCUGGGCUCUCCAGUCAUCCUUUACUUCUCACCCUGGGCUCUCUGGGUCAUUCUUUACUUCUCAUGCUGGGCUCUCCAGUCAUCCUUUACUUCUCACCCUGGGCUCUCUGGGUCAUCCUUCUCACCCUGGGCUCUCUGGUCAUUCUUUACUUCUCAUGCUGGGCUCUCUGGGUCAUCCUUCACAUCCUGGGCUCUCCAGUCAUCCUUUACUUCUCAUGCUGGGCUCUCUGGGUCAUCCUUCUCACCCUGGGCUCUCCAGUCAUCCUUUACUUCUCAUGCUGGGCUCUCCAGUCAUCCUUUACUUCUCAUGCUGGGCUCUCCAGUCAUCCUUUACUUCUCAACCUGGGCUCUCUGGGUCAUCCUUCUCACCCUGGGCUCUCUGGUCAUUCUUUACUUCUCAUGCUGGGCUCUCCAGUCAUCCUUUACUUCUCAUGCUGAGCUCUCUGGAUCAUCCUUUACUUCUCACCUUGGGCUCUCUGGGUCAUCCUUCUCACCCUGGGCUCUCCAGUCAUCCUUUACUUCUCAUGCUGGGCUUUCCGGGUCAUCCUUUACUUCUCAACCCUGGGCUCUCUGGGUCAUCCUUCUCACCCUGGGCUCUCCAGUCAUCCUUUACUUCUCAACCUGGGCUCUCUGGGGCAUCCUUUACUUCUCACCCUGGGCUCUCCCAGUUAUCCCUUACUUCUCACAUUGGGGUCUUAACGUGGGGACACAGCAAGGGGAUGUUUACAAAAGGUAUUUAAAGAAAUAUUUUUUUAAGAAGGAAAAGAAAGCUAGAUUCCACAGAAGCAUCUGGAUUUUGAUUCAUUUGGCAAACCAGUGUGAGGACAUCCACGUGUUUCCCAAUUUUGUCUUUUUCAAUCUCUCUCAAUUCUAG